rnacentral:rRNA from 1 species
ACUACGGGAGGCAGCAGUCGAGAAUCAUUCACAAUGGGGGAAACCCUGAUGGUGCGACGCCGCGUGGGGGAAUGAAGGUCUUCGGAUUGUAAACCCCUGUCAUGUGGGAGCAAAUUAAAAAGAUAGUACCACAAGAGGAAGAGACGGCUAACUCUGUGCCAGCAGCCGCGGUAAUACAGAGGUCUCAAGCGUUGUUCGGAAUCACUGGGCGUAAAGCGGGGGUAGGCUGUUUCGUAAGUCGUGUGUGAAAGGCGCGGGCUCAACCCGCGGCCGGCACAUGAUACUGCGAGACUAUGGUAAUGGAGGGGGAACCGGAAUUCUCGGUGUAGCAGUGAAAUGCGUAGAUAUCGAGAGGAACACUCGUGGCGAAGGCGGGUUCCUGGACAUUAACUGACGCUGAGGCACGAAGGCCAGGGGAGCGAAAGGGAUUAGAUACCCCUGUAGUC